GACGAACGCUGGCGGCGUGCCUAAUACAUGCAAGUCGAACGCACUCUCGCUUAGAUUGAGGGAUUUUGCUCCUGAUUGAUCAACAUUUGAGUGAGUGGCGGACGGGUGAGUAACACGUGGGUAAUCUGCCCUAAAGCGGGGGAUAACAUUUGGAAACAGAUGCUAAUACCGCAUAAAACCUAACACCGCAUGGUGUAGGGUUGAAAGAUGGUUUCGGCUAUCACUUUAGGGUGGACCCGCGGUGCAUCAGUUAGUUGGUGAGGUAAAGGCUAACCAAGACCGUGAUGCAUAGCCGACCUGAGAGGGUAAUCGGCCACACUGGGACUGAGACACGGCCCAGACUCCUACGGGAGGCAGCAGUAGGGAAUCUUCCACAAUGGACGAAAGUCUGAUGGAGCAACGCCGCGUGAGUGAAGAAGGUUUUCGGAUCGUAAAACUCUGUUGUUGGAGAAGAAUGUAUCUGAUAGUAACUGAUCAGGUAGUGACGGUAUCCAACCAGAAAGCCACGGCUAACUACGUG
rnacentral:rRNA from 1 species